AGAUGAGAGUGAGAAUUAGAUAAAAGAGAGAAUGGGAAGUGGUGAGAUAUAUGCGAAGCACUCUUGUUAUCUGUGGUUAGAUUAUGUGGGUAUAUUUACUUUGAACAUGGUACUAAUGUUUGCAGCCUCAAAAGCAGCACCCAAUGCUGGAGCUUCGUCGGCAUUUAAAUGAACACCCAAGGGUAGUGAUUCGCCAAAGAAUUCUGAUAGUUUUGUUU
rnacentral:ribozyme from 13 species